rnacentral:rRNA from 1 species
CAUGCGGCAUCCUACCAUGCAGUCGACGCCCCGCCGGGGUGUGGCAUACGGGUGAGUGACGCGUGGGUGCAUACCCUUUCCUGCGGAAUACUUCCGGGAAACUGGAAUUAAUACCGCAUACGCCCUACGGGGGACAGAUUUAUCGGGGAAGGAUUGGCCCGCGUUGGAUUAGCUAGUUGGUGGGGUAAAGGCCUACCAAGGCGACGAUCCAUAGCUGGUCUGACAGGAUGAUCAGCCACAUUGGGACUGAGACACGGCCCAAACUCCUACGGGAGGCAGCAGUGGGGAAUAUUGGACAAUGGGCGCAAGCCUGAUCCAGCCAUGCCGCGUGAGUGAUGAAGGCCUUACGGUUGUACGGCUCUUUCACCGAUCAAGAUAAUGACGGUAGUCGUAGAACAAGCCCCGGCUAACUUCGUGCCAACAGCCGCGGUAAUACGAAGGCGGCUAGCGAUGUUCGGAAUUACUGCGCGUAAAGCGCACGUAGGCUGAUAUUUAAGUCAGGGGUGAUAUCCCGCAGCUCAUCUGCGGAACUGCCUUUGAUACUGGGUAUCUUGAGUAUGGAAGAGGUAAGUGGAAUUCCGAGUGUAGAGGUGAAAUGCGUAGAUAUUCGGAGGAACACCAGUGGCGAAUGCGGCUUACUGCUCCAUUACUGACGCUGAUGUGCGAAAGCGUGGGGAGCAAACAGGAUUACAUACCCUGGUAGUCCACGUCGUAAACGAUAAAUGUUAGCCGUCGGGCAGUAUACUGCUCGGUGGCGCAGCUCACCGCAUUAAACAUUCCGCCUGGGGGAGUACGGUCGCUAGAUUAAAACUCAAAUGAAUUGACAGGGGUACCGCACAAGGCGGAUGGAGCAUGGCGGCAUUAAUUACGUAUGCAACGGCUGCAGAAGCGUUACUAGCCUAUGAAUUUCGGGUAUGGGUCAUCGGAGACGAUGCGUCAGCUAGCUAGCCCAGAACAGCGCCUUGCAUGGCAUGAC